rnacentral:lncRNA from 1 species
AUAGAUUUGCCUCGCGAAUUAGCAUAGGGUUCUGCAAUUAAUUUUAUAAUUAGCUCAUAUUUAACCCUCCUAAUUAGCAUCCGAAUAUCUGAUGUGACACUGCUAAAGUUUAACAUGCAGUAUCAAACGUCUCCUUGACACGCUGGAGUUGACGCUGGCCCUGUCGCUGAUCCGGCCGGCGAAUGGGUUCAACGAGGACGUGCUGAUGAGAACGAGAGGCUGCUCAUUGGACGAGGGAUAUUAAUUGCUUAUUUUGCUUUGUUCAUGAGUAUUAAUUGCUUUGACUGAAGGUUUCACGUUAGAAAAAGAACCUGGAAAGGCCUCCGGUUGUACUACUAGUGAAAAUACUGAUGUGGGAGCUUGGCCAGGUGAGACUAUGUGCCAGCAGUCCAGCACAGCGACAACAAAAAUGAACUGCUCUCUCCGUUUCUAGAUGUAGAUCGUUUUAGUUUUUCUAGAAUGCAUAGAUUUUACUAUGCAUUUAAAUAUAGACUUAUAUCUAGAUAAAUAGUAAAAUUUAUGUAUCUAAAAAAUCAAAACGAUCUACAUUUUGAAAUGGACUACCAAGCUUCUCACUU